UACGUAGGGUGCAAGCGUUAUCCGGAUUCACUGGGCUUAAAGCGUGCGCAGGCGGAUCGGUAAGUCCGUGGUGAAAUCCUGCAGCUUAACUGCAGAACUGCCAUGGAUACUAUUUAUCUUGAAUAUCGUGGAGGUUAGCGGAAUAUGUCAUGUAGCGGUGAAAUGCUUAGAUAUGACAUAGAACACCCAUUGCGAAGGCAGCUAACUAGGCGAUAAUUGACGCUGAUGCACGAAAGCGUGGGGAGCAAACAGG
rnacentral:rRNA from 1 species